rnacentral:tRNA from 1 species
UCCCCAAAAAGGCCAAACGGAUUCCCUAAUUAUUUAUCCUAUCCUCUCAU